rnacentral:misc_RNA from 1 species
UAACUAUUCUCAAGCUACAUUCUUUUUAAAAGGGUGCAGCAUGGAAUUGAGUGAUCCCGGUACGAGCGCUUCGGCACUGCAACUGGGAGACUUGAAACUGAUAUCGCGGGAGUAGUGGUCAUUAAGGAUCAGCUCUUUGUAGGUGUACUAGUUGGAGGCGUCGCAAGACGUUUUCAUUCUUAACACCAUUUGCGCAAAGUUCGGAUCUGACAACUACAACCAACGAACGCAGGAACGCGAGUCUUCGGACUUCAACU